GGGCCCUCCGUCUCUGUGAUUCAGAUACACCUCUAUGGUUGUGCGUGAUAAAAAAACCAUAACCGUCAAGCCUCAUCAUCUCCUGUUGCUCAUGUGUGAAUAGUGGCAAUAAAUGGCUUAAACGGAA